UAACCUUAUAUUAUAAACAGUUGUUUAUUUAGAGUUAUUUAUUAUUGUUUUCUCAUAUUUUGCAAUUGUUAAGUUGGUUUACUUCGAAUUUAAUAUGCAUUACUGUGGUAUUUCUCCAGUUUUCUAAGAAGUUUGGUGAUUUUGAAUUGGGAUUAUGAUGAAUUUAACCCAAAGGCAAUGUGUGUUUAUUUAUGUGGCAAAAUUCCAGGCACCAUAAAAAUUUGAGUUUCUUCCUGUUGCCCAUGGAUGAAAUCGGUUUGCAGAAUGAAAAGAAAUUGUUCAAUGUGAUAUACUUUCUAUGAACAGUCCUCAAUAUUGUUACAUUAACUUUUAAAUAUGCACUUUACAUCUUGAGGAGCAGGCCUUUGCAGAAAUACUGAAAAGCGGGUUGCAAAACAACGCAAAAUAAAACAAACGAAAUAUGUCUUGAGAUUAAACAUUCAAGUUGAAGGUGUGUUCUUUCUUAAACUGAAAUGAUAAUUUUGUAAUUCUGUAGGCACAUCUAUUGAGAAGUUACAACCAGUGGCAAAGUGCCUUAAGGGAAUCUAUGACAUAUAAUUGAAGCUAUCAGCAUUGGCUCUACAGCCCAUGGUGGGUCUUGGCCUGUUCCAGAAUCAGCUUCCACUCUUUCCUAUCCCAAUCUUUCCAAUUUCUCACUCGAGCAUGGAUUUUUGGUAUAUAUGGGAUUAUAUUGUGAUAACGACCAGAUCUAUGAAAGAAUAGUAUGUUGUUAAAGAAGAUUGUGGUGACACUAUUCAUGAAUAUCUGAUAAUAUUGGUUAAUGUGAAUGGAGUCCAAAAUGGGUUUAGGCUGUUAUAUAAAAAAACUAGGUCAUUAGCAUAUGGAAGUAGGGCGACAUUAUCUGGUAUUAAAUUAUGUGAAUGAGGAGAAUUAAACCUAAAAACUCUAUUUAUUCUGCUAAUCAAUAUGAUUUUAAUAUAUUUUAAUAUAAAACAUAUGUUAUUCUUUCUAGGGACAUCUCCUCUGAAGGAAUUACAAUUAUUUGCCAGUAUGUCAAAUGAAUUUAUUGAUGAAAAUAAAACUAGGUACAUGAUUUAUUAUUUACUUCCAAGGGAUUCUAAGAUACUAUGUGUAAAAAGUCCAAUAUGCAGUGAUGAGCAUGCUAAUAACUGGCAAAAUAUGGGAUAUAACGCCAAAGAUGGGAAACAUGGGAUGCAUUCUGAAAUAAAAAGAGAUGAAACUGAGAGAAAUUAUCCAUAUAAACAUAUAAAUCAACAUUACAUUACAUAGUUUCCCACCUUUAGACGUAUCAGAUGAGUAUGAGAACUGUCACUGUGACAGGAGAAUUUUAUAAAAUACUCCUGUCACAGAGAUCUAAAGGUGGGAAACUAUGUAAUGUUAUCAUCGGCUAAGAGUGUUAACCUGUUAACCCCAUUUUUCACUGUGAGUGAUAUUGGGGUAGUUUCUACAUCUGUGUACCUUCAUACCAUGUCCCACAAGCCCGCUGGUUCCACUGUAGUUUAGAGAUAGCUAUUUCUAAACUACAUUGGUGUCGGCGGGUUUGUGGGGUGGUGUAUGAAAAUACACAGACCCAGAAACUAGCCCAAUAUCACUCAAAGUGAAAAAUGGAGUUAGCAGGUUAAAACUCUUAUCCAACGUUAUGUUAAUUUAUUCGUUUAUAACGAUAAUUUCCACUUCUACCAGUUUCAUCUCUUUUUAUCUCACAAGUUAAUAUGUUUUCCAUCUUUUGCGUUAUUUUGCCGGUUAUUAGUGUGAGUGCUCAUUACUGUCUAUUUACGAUUCUGUGAUUUCUUAAUAUGAUGCUGAGUAGGUGUAGAUGAGUAUCUACAACCCUUUCAAAACAGAAAUUUAUGAGUUCAUUUUAUGUACCUAUUAAACUUUAUUUUAAGGAUGAAUUUGAAAUGCUUGUAGGGAAUAUAUCUGUAAAAAUAAAAUUGGUAUUGUAAAAUUGAAAUUCUCAAAAUAUAAUUUAUAAUUCGAA